rnacentral:rRNA from 1 species
AAGGGCACCACAAGAACGCGUGGAGCAUGUGGCUUAAUUUGACUCAACGCGGGAAAUCUUACCAGGUCCGGACACACUGAGGAUUGACAGGAAGUAUCGUCUUUUGAAAUCUUUAAGCACAUGUCGUGUAUGUCAUGUCGUUUCUUUUAGAUGAAUGAUUCGUGUAAAUAUGCUAGUUCUUUCAUGAUUAUGUGAUAGGUGGUGCAUGGCCGUUCUUAGUUCGUGGAGUGAUCUGUCUGCUUAAUUGCGUUUCACUAUGGCCCCAAAGUUAGCAAGUUAUCCAAUCAUGACCUUCGUCGACCCCUCACCUUUGAGUGCGCGUCCUAGCUUAGAGUACAUGGUGUAAAUGGACUUGUUUUGGGUACCCAGAAAGCAACGAACGUGACCGCAACGUCUUGUUGUCUCUCUUUUGACAGUUAUGGGUUAUCCCAGUCAUGUGUUUAUACUUUUAUGUGUAAAUACGUACGACACAGAGACUAGAUACCAAACUAGGCGUACCGCUGUAUCAUUUCUUUAAACCAGAGGAAGGUUGCGGCAAUAACAAGGUCUGUGAUGCCCUUAGAUGUUCUGGGCUGCACACGUGCUACAAUGAUCAGCACAGUAAGCAUCUCAAAUUUACAACACCGUUAACACACGUAGUGAGCCGCUUGAAAUCUCAUCUGCAUAUGCGUAUCUCGGUACGGAUUGCAAUGUGAGUUAUCUAAUGCGCGCGGUUAUGCCUGUACCGAGAGGUGACGUCGGGUAACCAUUCUCUAAUGCUGACCUAUUUUUCUGAAAUAUGCACAACUCUAAUAUGACAUUCAUUCCCGGGAGGACUAGUUGCCUCUUUGUGUGAGUGUAAUGCAAACAUGUCGGCGUAAGACUUCAUUCAUAUGUGCCCCUGUCAAUUCGUGGUGGGGACAGACCAUUGCUAAUUGUUGGUCUCGCUUAUAACUAGGAAUGCCUUGUACCGGUCUUUGGUUCAUCAAACCACCGGGAGUACGUCCCUGCCCUUUGUACACACCGCCCGUCGCUCUUACCGAUGAACUCGUUUGUGAGUUUUAAGGACUGGAUUAAGCUAUAUGCGUAACCUAUGGAAAUUCAUGCGAAUGAACUGGUUUAAAGGAAAGAGAAGUCGUAACAAGGCAUCAGUAGGUGAACCUGCAGAAGGAUCA